AGAGUUUGAUCAUGGCUCAGGACGAACGCUGGCGGCGUGCUUAACACAUGCAAGUCGAGCGGAAAGGCCCUUCGGGGUACUCGAGCGGCGAACGGGUGAGUAACACGUGAGUAACCUGCCCUAGGCUUUGGGAUAACCCUCGGAAACGGGGGCUAAUACCGGAUAUGACCUUGCCCUGCAUGGGGUUUGGUGGAAAGUUUUUCGGCCUGGGAUGGGCUCGCGGCCUAUCAGCUUGUUGGUGGGGUGAUGGCCUACCAAGGCGACGACGGGUAGCCGGCCUGAGAGGGCGACCGGCCACACUGGGACUGAGACACGGCCCAGACUCCUACGGGAGGCAGCAGUGGGGAAUAUUGCACAAUGGGCGGAAGCCUGAUGCAGCGACGCCGCGUGAGGGAUGACGGCCUUCGGGUUGUAAACCUCUUUCAGCAGGGACGAAGCGCAAGUGACGGUACCCGCAGAAGAAGCACCGGCCAACUACGUGCCAGCAGCCGCGGUAAGACGUAGGGUGCGAGCGUUGUCCGGAUUUAUUGGGCGUAAAGAGCUCGUAGGCGGCUUGUCGCGUCGACCGUGAAAACUUGGGGCUCAACCCCAAGCCUGCGGUCGAUACGGGCAGGCUAGAGUUCGGUAGGGGAGACUGGAAUUCCUGGUGUAGCGGUGAAAUGCGCAGAUAUCAGGAGGAACACCGGUGGCGAAGGCGGGUCUCUGGGCCAAUACUGACGCUGAGGAGCGAAAGCGUGGGGAGCGAACAGGAUUAGAUACCCUGGUAGUCCACGCUGUAAACGUUGGGCGCUAGGUGUGGGGGGCCUCUCCGGUUCCCUGUGCCGCAGCUAACGCAUUAAGCGCCCCGCCUGGGGAGUACGGCCGCAAGGCUAAACUCAAAUGAAUUGACGG
rnacentral:rRNA from 1 species